rnacentral:lncRNA from 1 species
CUGUGUCCUAGAAAAUGUUCAUUCAUUAGUGCCAGGAGGAAAACAACCCUGCUUUCUCAUACCCUGUAAUCUUAGUGUUUUCAAAACCUCAUGGACUUUUCAUGGAAUGAUGUGCAACUUUUGCCACUAAUCUCAAAGUUCUUUGGUGAUAAAACCUGCAAGUGUGAAGUUGAUAAAUCUGAUUCCAGCUGAUAAAGGAACAGGAGGAUCAGAGAUAAUUAAAAGGAAAUAAAGGAU